rnacentral:rRNA from 1 species
AGAGUUUGAUCAUGGCUCAGAUUGAACGCUGGCGGCGUGCUUAACACAUGCAAGUCGAGCGGUAACAGGUGUAGCAAUACAUGCUGACGAGCGGCGAACGGGUGAGUAAUGCUUCGGAAUCUUCCUCGUAGUGGGGAAUAACCUGGGGAAACUCAGGCUAAUACCGCAUACGAACUACGGUUGAAAGCAGGGGAUCGCAAGACCUUGCGCUAUGAGAUGAGCCGAAGUCGGAUUAGCUAGUUGGUGAGGUAACGGCUCACCAAGGCGACGAUCCGUAGCUGGUCUGAGAGGACGACCAGCCACACUGGGACUGAGACACGGCCCAGACUCCUACGGGAGGCAGCAGUGGGGAAUAUUGGACAAUGGGCGAAAGCCUGAUCCAGCGACGCCGCGUGUGUGAAGAAGGCCUGCGGGUUGUAAAGCACUUUUAGUGGGGAUGAAAAGCCGAAGGCUAAUACCUUUCGGUCUUGACCUAACCCAAAGAAAAAGCACCGGCUAACUCUGUGCCAGCAGCCGCGGUAAUACAGAGGGUGCAAGCGUUAAUCGGAAUUACUGGGCGUAAAGCGUGCGUAGUCGGUUAUUCAAGUCGGGUGUGAAAGCCCCGGGCUCAACCUGGGAAUUGCAUUCGAUACUGGCAGACUUGAGUACUGGAGGGGGUGGUGGAAUUCCCGGUGUAGAGGUGAAAUUCGUAGAUAUCGGGAGGAAUACCGGUGGCGAAGGCGACCACCUGGCCAGAUACUGACGCUGAGGUGCGAAAGCGUGGGGAGCAAACAGGAUUAGAUACCCUAGUAGUCC